rnacentral:rRNA from 1 species
AGAGUUUGAUCCUGGCUCAGAACGAACGCUGGCGGCAUGCCUAAUACAUGCAAGUCGAACGAGAUCUUCGGAUCUAGUGGCGCACGGGUGCGUAACGCGUGGGAAUCUGCCCUUGGGUUCGGAAUAACUUCUGGAAACGGAAGCUAAUACCGGAUGAUGACGUAAGUCCAAAGAUUUAUCGCCCAAGGAUGAGCCCGCGUAGGAUUAGCUAGUUGGUGGGGUAAAGGCCCACCAAGGCGACGAUCCUUAGCUGGUCUGAGAGGAUGAUCAGCCACACUGGGACUGAGACACGGCCCAGACUCCUACGGGAGGCAGCAGUAGGGAAUAUUGGACAAUGGGCGAAAGCCUGAUCCAGCAAUGCCGCGUGAGUGAUGAAGGCCUUAGGGUUGUAAAGCUCUUUUACCCGGGAUGAUAAUGACAGUACCGGGAGAAUAAGCUCCGGCUAACUCCGUGCCAGCAGCCGCGGUAAUACGGAGGGAGCUAGCGUUGUUCGGAAUUACUGGGCGUAAAGCGCACGUAGGCGGCUAUUCAAGUCAGAGGUGAAAGCCCGGGGCUCAACCCCGGAACUGCCUUUGAAACUAGAUAGCUUGAAUCCAGGAGAGGUAAGUGGAAUUCCGAGUGUAGCGGUGAAAUGCGUAGA